UUCGGCUAGGGGGCCAUCCCGGCUUACCAACCCGAUGCAAACUGCGAAUACCGGAGAAUGUUAUCACGGGAGACACACGGCGGGUGCUAACGUCCGUCGUGAAGAGGGAAACAACCCAGACCGCCAGCUAAGGUCCCAAAGUCAUGGUUAAGUGGGAAACGAUGUGGGAAGGCCCAGACAGCCAGGAUGUUGGCUUAGAAGCAGCCAUCAUUUAAAGAAAGCGUAAUAGCUCACUGGUCGAGUCGGCCUGCGCGGAAGAUGUAACGGGGCUAAACCAUGCACCGAAGCUGCGGCAGCGA
rnacentral:rRNA from 1 species